rnacentral:rRNA from 1 species
GACGAACGCUGGCGGCGUGCCUAAUACAUGCAAGUUGAGCGCUGAAGGUUGGUACUUGUACCAACUGGAUGAGCAGCGAACGGGUGAGUAACGCGUGGGGAAUCUGCCUUUGAGCGGGGGACAACAUUUGGAAACGAAUGCUAAUACCGCAUAAAAACUUUAAACACAAGUUUUAAGUUUGAAAGAUGCAAUUGCAUCACUCAAAGAUGAUCCCGCGUUGUAUUAGCUAGUUGGUGAGGUAAAGGCUCACCAAGGCGAUGAUACAUAGCCGACCUGAGAGGGUGAUCGGCCACAUUGGGACUGAGACACGGCCCAAACUCCUACGGGAGGCAGCAGUAGGGGAUCUUCGGCAAUGGACGAAAGUCUGAACGAGCAACGCCGCGUGAGUGAAGAAGGUUUUCGGAUCGUAAAACUCUGUUGGUAGAGAAGAACGUUGGUGAGAGUGGAAAGCUCAUCAAGUGACGGUAACUACCCAGAAAGGGACGGCUAACUACGUG